AUCAGAACCUCAAACCAAUCCUUGCACUGGCUGGAACUCAAAAGGUAGACUUGGGAGGGGUUGGAGGAAGAUAUAAAGGCUGGUGGUUGGAGACACAGAGCGGCACUGAACUGGAGUGACUCAAGGGGAGGAAGAAUCAGAGACAUCAAAACACGAAGAUGAAACUUCUUUUUUGCCCUGGAUUCUUCCUGCUGCUUAUUGUCAGCCAGAAGCAGGCAAUGGCCAAACCUACUUCCAGCUUGCAGAGUCUGUCCAUGCUGUUGGAUGAGGAGCUGGAGCAUCCCCUGGUCUCAGAAGAGAGGGAUCGUGAGCAAGAUGGCUCAAUCCCAGUAGGUGCCUUUGAUCAGGAUGAUGCUGAGUUCCAGUGGACCCGAAACACCAGAGAUCACCCUGCGAGCAUUUCCACUGCUGAUAGUGCUGUCCAGAGGCUCCUCAGUGACCUCUUAGGCUUACCUCAGAGAUACCAAAACAGAAGCAAAAAGGGUCUGUCCAGGAGCUGUUUUGGGGUUAAGUUGGACAGAAUUGGAUCAAUGAGUGGACUGGGAUGCUAACUGCUUACUAUGGAUUGACUUGGAGGAUUCAAAUCACCUGUUGGCUACCAGUGAGAUACUCAGCCCUUAUCUGACAAUGUACUGAACAAAUUGCAUUCUACCUCUCCCUUAAAUUACUUAGGGGAGACAGAAUAGGACACACCAUAACUGUAUGUUUAUUUGUAUCAGUCAUUAUUUGUGAGCAUCUACCAGAAGUGAAAGUACAAAAACAUUUGCACUGUUUAUGUAAUAAAUGUAUAAAUGAUCAGUUUUCAUUAUGUCAUGGAUAAUAAACUUAUUUUUUUUUCCAUAA